CUUUUUUUUAAUAUACCUGUUUUACUUAUUAUUUCAAAAGCAUCAAAAUGUAUGGCCAACAAUUCUUGGAGUAAUCAACAAUUUGUAAGUCCUUGUAAACCAUGGAAAUAAAUAUUCAGAAUGGAAGUAUUUUAUUCUCCACUGCUGUCAAAUAGUGGUGGGGGCGAUAUCGUGAAGGGGGGAGAUUCAAUUUACAAAAAUAACCUCGAUAAGAGAGCUUAUCAGAAAAUUACAAUCACGAACUGGAGUACUACUCCCACUGUUUCUCCAUUCUUUCAUGCAGCCGUAGAGUCGGAACUGUUUCUCGGUGAGUGUUCCAGUAGUAAAUAUAGCCAAGCCCGACUUUGGUAACAACGAGGAAAAAGGAAAACGUGAGAAGUUUUCCAACAGUUUCGCUUUUACCCAGCGCCGGUCGUUUCUUAUGGCGAAAGCUGCUGUGUUUUCUUUUACGACCUUAACGAUUGCCAACGCUUAUUUCACGAAUGUCAUUGUAGUUCUCGGAAUUUUCAGUACGCAUGUCAUUUUUGUUAACGUAAAAGUUGUACAAAAAGCUGCAGACCUUCUAAAAGGUGAUUUAGAAACUUUGAAUUCAAGUAAAGAAAAUAUAGUUAUUUUUGCAUGGCAACAUUUUAAUGUAGACUGAAUUAUACCAAAAUGCAGCUCAAGGUCUCUAUACCCGUACGAGGUUAUCUAGAUCAUUGUAUUUUAUCGUUUCCAUUCUAUAAGAUAUAUCGAGAAAGGUCUAUAUGCAAAGACAUAUGGAUCGCCAUGAUGUCCAUGAUUUCAGUUACACCUUUUAAGGAGAUGCAUUUAAACCAUUAUUAAUAGCUCAAACUAAACCAUUUAAUUAGUCUAAACAAUAAAACUUACAUUUUGAUAUUUAAAUUUGCAUUCCACCCAGAGACCUCUAUCAACACAUAAAAGCUAUGGUAUGUAUUGUUCAUUAAAUUUCAAUGUUGAAUUUAGUUCCAACCUCCCUUUUAUUGCAGCGUCUGGUAUCUGACGCUGUUUCAGACUUAGCUCCUGGAAUCUGGAGUCAUGUUCAUCAGAAGAAAACCAUCAAAAGUUGGCGACAAAGAACCUCUAAACGAACCUUUACAUCGUUCCGACAUCAGAGACACCUAUAAAUAGGUGGUGAUUUUCGUUGGAUCUCUUCCGACGAACUUGGAGCUAAAUUUCACAUUCAAACCUCUAUCAAGGUUAUCUUCUCGUUGCUUUGACUUAACUCCUGAUACAGUUCAACGUGAAACGCUACUGUAGGUGAGAGGCAGGUCAGUGACUGUUCGGGGAAGGGUUGGCACGAUGCCGAUCUCAUGAGUGCCUGGCACUUGGCCGACACCUGCCAGUCGUCUCUGCUGUACGGGGUCUCUGAUCUGAAAAUGACUUCAAGAGUUUAUUUUGAGCUUCUUUGUCGCCGACUGGUAUCUCGUCAGAUGAACAUGACUCCAGAUUCCAGGAAUCAAGCCUGUGACAUAGUUGGAUUCCAGACGCUGCGAUAACAACAGGAAGGUGAAUUGAAGCCAAACUGAACAUCUAUUCGUAUGUCACGAAGACAAUGUUGAGGGUUAGGAUAGUUUUAUUUACAUGCUGUGUAAUUAUUGGUCAAUAAAAUUAAAACAAAAUCCGUUAUUAGACCACUUAGUCCGUAAAACAUUUUUUUAAGAAUUACAUAUUAUUUGAGUUCCAAAUAGAACCAGGCGAUAUUAGAGAGCAAAUUCUCCACUAUGUUACAAGAGAAAUUCGUUCUAUUGCCACUAAAACCCGUUACGUCACCUUCCAUGAUAAAUUACGAUAAUAAUUUACCUUGUCAAAUACCUUGUCUGACAAAAGUGAUCAGACCUGGCAGUGAUAUAUAUGCGAGUAAAGGUUCUCGAGAGGUUACUAAAACUACGAUAACCUCAUCAACUGUAUUACUUCGGGAUUUGAGGCCAAUGAGGUGACAGUCUGAUUUGGUCACAGAGAUAACCUUUGGUGCCAAAGUGGGUUUCUUUGAUACCAGUCUCUGCUGAGAACAUUUGUAUCACUGUGGACUUUAUCACUUAUUGCCAUUAUGUUGCUUUAUGUUGUUUUUCAGGCAGUGUUAAUUGGUUUCCCCUCUGAUCUGCAUGAUAACCCUCCAACACAAGGAAGAGUCUUUAUACAUAAUAUAAAACUUAUGUGUUGUUUAUUUUUGUAAGUCAUCCAUCAGAGCAAUUAGAAAAUGGUGAUGGAGAAAAAUGAUAGUUUUCAAAAAUGACGAGUUCAUCUAGUUGGCUGAGCGUUAACAAAGCCUAUCAACGGGAAGAAUUUUACUUCUGUUACCGAUAUCUGAAGCGACAUUUUGAACGAACUUUCAAUUUUAAACAGGCAGUAUUGAGUUCAAUUAUGGCCAUUUUCCCUCGUUUGAUUCUUCUAAGCGUUAGUGAAGUCAAACUUUCCGUAAUGCGUUGGCAACAUUACUUAUCUGUCUUCCUAAAGAAAUAUUGAAAAAGAAAUGUGUUAAAGACUUCAAAUGCUGUAUGAACCUUCAUUUUUACGUAGGCAAGAUCUAGUUUGAAUAUGAUGCAUAUCCUUACCAUCAGAUCUGGCUGAGAGUCAGCGAAGCCUCUCUAUUAAUCACCCAGAUAUCUCGAGAGAUGGUUUACGUGAAAGUUAACUUCUACACAACCAAAGCAAGUUCUUUCAUAUGCACCUCAAUGUGAUUUUCACAGGAGGAUGUUGCAUUGGCAAAAUAUAACACGGAAGGGGAUGAAUCGAGAAAGAAUCAUGCCAUGGACUUAAAUCGAGGAUGAAAAUUAAUUUCUACAUAGACAAGAUCGAUGACCCUUCAGUGGGGAUGUUCUUUUCAUGACUUCAGCAAGAGGUCCGGUGGGUAGGGGAGGGGAUAACAGUUCGUCUGGCAUUAUUACAGGUAAGUUUCAGUACUUUUGAGCGUUAGCUACAUCCAGGCAGCUUUUCAAAUAAUGCUAUGCGCAUCUGAGCCCACCAGAUAUUGUUCACAUAACUCCCGAAACCUGUUACGAUCAUUAUUAUUAAAAUUUAAUUUUCUAAUGAUUACUCUUAAGAUAGGUUCAGAUGAAUUUGGUUAAAUUGGGCGGGAUUGGUUAGACUGAUAUAAUAAUUUUUGCACUCCAAACUUAUACAGACAGGCAGCCGCAAGUUCCUAGUUUAACCUUCAACAGGUGAACAAUAGCCUUUGUCUUCAACCAACACCGAUGAGACAUAGCACGAUAAGAAACAUGAGAUCGGCGCGGAUCGUCCAGCGUGUGGCUAACAAUGGAGUUAGUUGCUAACAUCAUCGCAAAAAGAAUUCUCUUACAGCAAAGCAGAAGUUUUUCAUGUCAGAAUUUUACCGUGCCCAUGACUCAGGUAAGGUAUAAAGUGCUGCAGUGUAGCGGGUAAGGCGGUUAUCUCAAGAUAACGUAAUCAAGAAACGUCGAGCGUGGCUGCUGCUUGGAUGGGUGGUCGCUGAGCGAUCCUGUCCUUGCAAGCAGCCCGCCUGCCCGGCCAUUAGUGGUGGUUUGGAAGUCACCUUUAGGCCGUUGCUCCCCAGGUUAAGUGUUAGAGAGAGCCUCUUCGCCCUAACUUCGCCUGGAUAAAAAUGCAUUCUUUGAUUUUCACAGUCCGUAAAGAAUCUUAG